rnacentral:rRNA from 1 species
AGUGAACGCUGGCGGUAGGCCUAACACAUGCAAGUCGAACGGCAGCACAGUAAGAGCUUGCUCUUACGGGUGGCGGGUGGCGGACGGGUGAGGAAUACAUCGGAAUCUACUUUUUCGUGGGGGAUAACGUAGGGAAACUUACGCUAAUACCGCAUACGACCUACGGGUGAAAGCAGGGGAUCUUCGGACCUUGCGCGAUUGAAUGAGCCGAUGUCGGAUUAGCUAGUUGGCGGGGUAAAGGCCCACCAAGGCGACGAUCCGUAGCUGGUCUGAGAGGAUGAUCAGCCACACUGGAACUGAGACACGGUCCAGACUCCUACGGGAGGCAGCAGUGGGGAAUAUUGGACAAUGGGCGCAAGCCUGAUCCAGCCAUACCGCGUGGGUGAAGAAGGCCUUCGGGUUGUAAAGCCCUUUUGUUGGGAAAGAAAAGCAGCAGGUUAAUACCCCGCUGUUCUGACGGUACCAAAAGAAUAAGCACCGGCUAACUUCGUG